AUAGCGCAAAACCAUCACACACGGGCAAGUACAAACAAACAAAACCGUCUCCGUUCAACGUCAAAAAACCACUCCAUUUUAUUUCAUUUCCCCUUUUUUUUUUUUUUUUCAAAAUUUAAACUCAACCACCGCUACCACCACCACAACCACCGAUUCUAUUUCUCGCGGAAACUUUUGAAAUUCUCGUGAGCGACGAUUUAUGAUCGCCUGGUUGACUCGCCGGUGACGCUCCGGUGGCCAGUCAAUUCUUUGACUAUUGUGCGUUGACUAUGAAGAGCAAUCACAAUAACAUUAAUAGCAACGGAAAUCAUAAUAUUAUAAAUCAUAAGAACGGCAAAUUGAUUCCGAGUUCGUUGAAAUUCAUUUCAUCUUGUAUUAAAACCGCUUCUUCCAGUGUCAGGUCAGCUGGCGCCUCUGUUGCCGCUUCCAUUUCCGGCGAUUUUCGUGAGAAUAAGGACCAGGUACUGUGGUCUUCAUUCGACAGACUAGAGCUAAGUCCAUCUUCCUUCAAACGUGUUCUUUUACUUGGAUACUCCAAUGGUUUUCAAGUUCUUAACAUUGAAGAGGCCUCUAAUGUCAGAGAACUUGUUUCAAGGCGGGAUGAUCCAGUUAUUUAUUUACAGAUGCAACCCCUCCCUGCAAAGUCUGAGCACCAUGAAGGAUAUAGAAAUUCCCAUCCUUUACUCCUAGUUGUGGCAUGUGAUGAAUCAAAGAGCAGUUCAGGUUUACCUACAGGGAGAGAUGGGCUGGUAAAAGAUGGUUAUGAUGAGCCUCAGACAGGAAACCUUGCCACUGCUCCCAGAGCUGUUCGAUUUUACUCACUAAGAUCUCACAACUAUGUGCAUGUUUUGAGAUUCCGGUCAACUGUUUAUAUGAUUAAAUGCAGUCCUCGAAUAGUGGCUGUGGGUCUUGCCUCUCAAAUAUAUUGCUUUGACGCUCUCACUCUUGAAAAUAAGUUUAGUGUCCUCACUUAUCCUGCCCCUCAGUUGGGAGGCCAAGGAGUGCUUGGGGUUAAUAUUGGAUAUGGUCCAAUGGCUGUGGGUCCCCGAUGGUUAGCUUAUGCCUCUAACAACCCAUUGCUCCCAAAUACAGACCGCUUGAGCCCACAAAGUCUUACUCCUCCGGGUGUGAGUCCAUCAACUUCACCCAGCAAUGGAAGUCUGGUGGCUUGGUAUGCUAUGGAAUCAAGUAAGCAGUUAGCUGCAGGUUUGAUAAAUUUGGGUGACAUGGGCUAUAAAACUUUGUCUAGAUACUAUCAGGAUAUUGUCCCUGAUGGUUCUAGUCCUCCUUUAUCUUCCAAUUCAAGCUGGAAAGUUUCAUGUGGUGCCUCUCAUUUGGCCGAAACUGAUAUUGCUGGGAUGGUUGUUGUGAAAGAUUUUGUUUCCAGAGCUGUCAUAUCACAGUUUCGGGCCCAUACCAGUCCAAUUUCUGCUUUAUGUUUUGAUCCUAGCGGGACUUUAUUGGUGACUGCAUCAAUACAUGGAAAUAAUAUAAAUGUUUUCCGGAUCUUGCCCUUCUCAAAACAUCGAACAUCCACAGUCUCUCAAAACUAUGAUUGGAGUUCUUCUCAUGUGCACCUUUACAAGCUCCAUCGUGGCAUGACAUCAGCUGUGAUACAAGAUAUUUGUUUUAGUAAUUAUAGCCAGUGGAUUGCCAUUGUUACUUCCAGGGGAACUUGCCACAUUUUUGUUCUUGCCCCUUUUGGAGGUGAGACCGUGCUUCAAAUACAAAAUUCUAAUUUAGAUGGGCCUUCUCUCACACCAGUCCUUUCUCUACCGUGGUGGUCUGGUCCAUCUUUCAUGACAAAUCAACACUUGUUUCCUUCACCACCGCCAGCACCUGUUACACUCUCUGUGGUCAGUAGAAUAAAAAUUAAUAAUUCGGGCUGGCUUAAUACAGUUAGCAAUGCUGCAUCUUCUGCAGCAGGGAGGGCCUCCAUUCCAUCUGGUGCAGUAGCUGCUGUCUUUCAUAGUUCUGUGUCUCAGGAUUUGCAACCUGCUCACUUAAAAGUCAAUGUUUUGGAGCACCUAUUGGUUUACACUCCUUCUGGUAAUGUUGUUCAGUAUAAGUUACUAUCAUCUUCUGGAGGAGAGACAAGUGAAACCUCUCUGAGAACAGGACAUAGUUAUUCUGCAGAGAUACAUGAUGAGGAAUUAGGAGUUAAAGUUGAACCUGUUCAAGGGUGGGAUGUGUGUCGAAGAACAGAUUGGCCUGAAAGAGAGGAGUGCAUUUCUGGAAUUACUGUUGAUCAGAAUGAAGUUUCAGAGAUGACUAUGGAUACCUCUGAUUGUGAAGAUAAUGAUAAUGGGCAUAAGGAGAAUGUAAAACUCCAUGACCGAUCUCACUUACAUAUCUCCAAUGCAGAGGUACAGAUGAGCUCCGGACGGAUACUUAUCUGCCAAAAUUCUAAGAUACAUUUCUAUACAAUGAAUCCUUUGGACACUGAUGAGCAAAAUUCCACUAAAGAACAAACUGGUGGAGAGAUUGAAGUUGAGAAAAUACCUGUUCAUUAUGUUGAGAUUAGGCGGAAGGAUUUAUUGCCUGUGUUCGACCAUUUUCACAGGAUUCAAUCUGACUGGAUUGAGAGGGGCAUAUUCAGAGGAAGAUCAACAGUUUCAUCUUCAAAAUCUUAUGAAGCUAAAGAGAACUAUUUUGAAGAAAGUGAUAUUUCACAAUCAAAGUCAAUGUCACCUCGCUUGGUUGAAAACUCAGAUGUUGGAUCAUCAAAGAUUACUUAUCCAUCUGUAAAUGAGAAUGAAAAUUUUGCUACAGAAAGAGGCAGGUUUAAUUUAGCAUCACAUACAGUAGAUCAAAUCUUGCUCAACAAAGAAAAUGCUUCAGUUUUGUUGAAACAAUCUGCUGUCAAUGGUUCUGCAAUAGAGGAUAGCAAGUUUUCGAAUAUUGUAUCAUCUUUAACAAGUGGCUCACAUUCUGCUGGAGGAGCCAUAGCAAAAGAAGUUCAGUCAUCAACCAGUAAUGGGACUGGUAAAAUUGUAAACAUAAGUUCUAAUCAUUUCAAAUUGAGUACUAACACUAUAGAGGACAGCCUAGUAAAAGCGUCACUGGAUUUUGAAUACUUUUUUGAAGAACCCUGUAAAGCCUCAGCCUCAAGUGAAUGUCGUGAAUUAGUUGGAAUUAUCACUGAUGUUGACAGCAGCAACAGUCCUUGUGAUAAAGAGAAAUUUGAAGAAGACUGUGACAAUGAUAAAUCUGAGGACGAUUGUGAUACUGAUGACAUGCUUGGAGGUGUUUUUGCCUUCUCAGAAGAAGGUUGAUUUAUACCUUCUUUGUGUCGUCAUGAUUAAAAUAUAUGUGGAAAGGUUGGUCAAAGGUUGGCCUUACGGAGGGUGAGAUACUAAUUGAUAUAAUUUCGAGUUAUUGCCUACAACAAUGGAUCUGCCACUGACUGAAUGAUACAAGACGGGAUGCCUGGUUUUCACUUUCUAAUUCUAUUCAGGUGAGCUCACAAAAUUAAGCUGUAGAUAGAGUUAUAUUCUUUCAACUAUUAUCAGAACUUCCUGCUGUUAUGGUUUUAUGCCUGGGGGACUCUGGAGCAUCUUCUCCUCAUCGUAGGUAAAUUUUAUUCUGAAGGUGUGUUCAUUAAUAAAAACAUUGGAUACCCAGACAUCCUAUAACUUUGUAUUCUUGUGGCAUGCCAUGGCAUUGGAAUAGCAGCUACAUUAAUGGCUUGAAAUGUGCUGUGUUUUGGCCCCCACUUAGAUGCCUUCAUAUCAAAAUGUAGAGGUAGAGAUAGAGAGGCACCCAGAGUGGUCCCUUUAACCUCCAUAGGAGACUGUUGUCCGCGUAGAAAUUAUGCUCCCACUACAGAAUUAAGCUACCUCAUGGCCUGAAAACACUGCCCCCCCUUUGUAUAUACUUCGCUUUCGCUUAUGCUUUGUCUGGUUGUGAUUCGGUUGUUUUGGUUUUCAUUCAUUGCAUUUUAUCAAUUAUCAUUCACAACCCUUAUUUUGUCAAGGGUCGGUGCUUGUUGACUACACAAAUGACUAACUUAUUUGGUAAUGUUAUCUAGUGUCAAUAUCUUAUCUAUGACUAGGGCUAGAUCUGAAUAAAGUUGGCUUGAUUUCUUAGUUUGAACAAGUUAAAGUUGAGUUGAGAUAGCUUUAGUUUAAGUUUGAAUCUAACAAGUUAUCGAAAAAUUAUUGACAGAUUCAUUUUGUACAAUAAGUUUUCAUUUUUUUUAAUAACUUUUCUUCUUCUUUAAUAAUUCUUUUUUUUUUUUCAUUUUUUAAGAUUUUGUCUUCUUUUUCAACACUUUGUGAUAAUUAUUCUGUCAAUGUCAUCACCACUAUGAGUUUGAACUGAGUUUUGUUUGGAUUCGAAUAAGUUCGAAUCUAAUCCAUCUAUCUAAUGUGAGUUGCUACAUUUUUCAGCCCCAAACAACAUCAGCACCUCAAUUAGUUCACCUAGUCCCUUUUUUGAUGGUUUGAUUGGUUGGAUUUCUUCAAUGAUGUUUUGAUUUGAUUAUAAUGCAUAGCUUUUGUUACAAGAGCGUCUGUCUUUAAUUUCACGCGGGGCCUCCUUUCAAAAAUGUCAUUAUAGAAUUUGGGCUUUUGCCUAUUUCUGAAAACGACAACAUCACAAUUUACAAUAGAUUGCGGUCAGAUUGAAGUACCAAAUUCAAAAUUAACAAGAAUUUCCAUA